rnacentral:rRNA from 1 species
ACGCUUUAGGUUCGAAAAGCAUGCGGUAGCUAACAAGGAUUAGAUACCCUUGGUAGUCCAUAUUCGUAAACGAUGUCUAAUUAGUUGGUCGGGUCCCCCGAGGAAUUUCCAUCCCCCAUCUACAAGUGUUAUAAUCGUCCCACUUGUGGGAGUACAGUUCGCCAAGGUUGAAAACUGGAGAUUUCUUCAUCGGGGGUCCACACAACGCGGGCGUGCAUUUUGCGCACUAUAAUUCAACAUUAACGAACCUCCCCCUCGUGUUUGUCCUCCUCCGCAGUUCUCAGAGGAGAUGGAUUGUUUUUUUGGGGAACUGUCCAACAGGUGCGGCAUGGUUGUCGUCAGCUUGUGUCGUGAAAUGAAGGGUUAAGUCCCGCAACGAGCGCAACCCUUAUCCUUUGUUGCCAGCGGUUAGGACGGGAACUCAAAGGAGACUGCCAGUGAUAAACUGGAGGAAGGUGGGGAUGACGUCAAGUCAUCAUGGCCCUUACGACCAGGGCUACACACGUGCUACAAUGGCAUAUACAAAGAGAAGCGACCUAGCGAGAGCAAGCGGACCUCAUAAAGUAUGUCGUAGUCCGGAUUGGAGUCUGCAACUCGACUCCAUGAAGUCGGAAUCGCUAGUAAUCGUAGAUCAGAAUCUACGGUGAAUACGUUCCCGGGGCCUUGUCCACCCCGCCCGUCACACCAU